CCUCUGUUCCCUCUGAUUACAGACCAGCUUUCUGUGCCCCUGUGACACUUCCCCUAUACUUUCCCCACUAUCCACAAACCCAUACUGGUUUGUUCCACAAACUCUCCUUUGGUCAUCCCUGACCAGUGGCUGACCAGAGGGAGGGUGAGGGAGUACAGGGAGCUCCAUGGACUCGGACUCUGCCAAGGCGUCCAUAGUGGCACCAGGCCCUCAAGUACUCCCUCCUCUCCUCCACCCACUCGUCCAUCCUAUCCAGGUAUACGAAGAGGAAGGGAUCCAAGCCCUGGCCACAUCCUGCUAUAGCGACAGUGACUCUGCUUCCACGUAUAGUAGGUGGUGUCACAAAGGAGGCCGUGGUCUGCUGCCCCUGUGAUAGCUGGCUGUGAUGACACAGAGGCCAGUGUCUGGCUGUGUCUUCUCCAUCUUCCUUCUGAGCAUCUUUCCAACAGGGAGAGGGUGUGCUGUGAGAACGCACCAGAGUGCGCGCCUCUCCCUGACUCCACACAUGGAGGGAGCUCCUCUACCCUCAGGCGUUGGCAUCCCUAGAGCAUCUAUGCUGGUGGAGACCUAGACCCAAGGAGGAGCUGUGAACAGGACAACCAGUGCUGUUGCCUGACGGCAGGGGCCCAAGACACGGGACGAUGGCCGUGCUGGUGGAGGAGGCUUUUCACACAGCCCGCUGAAAGGCUUGCAUGUGCACAACUGCACGACAGUGGCUUGGUCUCCAUCCCCGGGGCCAUUCCUUCUGGAGCUACAUUUGAUUUGAAGAUCCCUGAGAGUCCGUGGUGGGCGUCUGCCUGGGAAGCUGAGCAGAAAGAUGGGAGCAUCUUGCUAGAUGGAGGAGGGGGUCAGAAUUGGGUCACAUGCAUUCUCUGUGCACGGCAUUUGACGGGAGGUCUUAAACCCAGCUGUCUGUCACCACGGUCCGCAUGGUCAAGCACUGGCUCUGCCGAUAUCUGCCUGCUCUCCCUGGCCCGCCUCAGCUCCUCAUUCCUGGAGAUGUCUCUUCGCUUUGCCUGUCCCAGAAUGCCAUCCCCCAGGCCAGUGUCAGGAAGGUGGCAAGCCGUGACAUUCUAGCCAUGUAUGUGACCGUGGAUGGAACCCACCAGGAACCCGCCUUUCCGCUACAGAGCACUGAAACUGGGAACAGUUUGUUACACGGCAAGAACGCAUGUGUCCUGACCGACUUCUGUCCACACACAGCACCAAUUUCCUCAGUCGGAUUGUGGCCUUCAGUGUCAGAGCCACAGAGGGCCACCACCCAACGCCUGCCGACCUAAGCUGUCAUGAGAUGAGCAAGGUCCCCCAUCACAUCCUUCCACCAUGAUACUUCCUCACUACGGCCCCAAAGCCGUGAGCCAGCCCACCUCGUACUGAAGACCGACAGACGCUGUGAGCCGAAACCACCCAUCCUCCCUGGGAAGGGUCCUUCUCAGAUGUUGGUGAUGUCAGCAGCAAACUGGCUGAUGCAGAUUAUGCUCCUUUCCCACAAUCUUAUGCGAUCCCUCUUAGGACAUUCCUGAGCCCAGAUUCUACCCGUCUCUAGGUCCAGGAGAUGCUGGAGAAGUGAUGGGGGCCUGGCUAAUCAAAGCUCACCCUAUGGAUUCUGAGAGUCCAGGCCAGGAAGACCAGAUGGCUGGUAGAUCGUCAACUGGGCCUGCACAAAGGCUUCUGGGCUAUCACGUACAGCCCUGCCUCUGCUCUUGGGUCCUUGCCUCCAGCCACCAGAGGUCUUCAGAUCCUGUCAGCUCAGGUUGCAAUAGUGUCAGUUUCUCUUCUAAGUUGGCCGAGGCUGGCCCCAGGUGUCACCGCUAUACCUCCAAACCAAGGGCACAGUUUGGGAGAGCACAGCUGUAGUCUAUCCUGGGGACAUGCUGGGGGCUGGAGAAGAGAAGGGAGGCUGUUUGGGGCUGACGGCUGAAAAGAUGGCUGCUGCUGAGGGGAGCCCUGGCUCUGGUGGGCUGCUUUGAGGGCUGACUCUGUUUAUUUAAAUUAACUGAACCAUAAAUCAUGUCUGUCACAUCCCAGUCCCAUAAGUCCUAUAGACAUCUGCUGGCUUCUCUGGUAGAAUUGCUCUGGGCAUCGGAAGAUAGUCCCCACGCAGUUAGCUGGUACGACAACUUUACAUCACCUGUGUUUUUUAUUCUCAGAUCCCAGGUUUCUGUAAUGGCCCUGGGACAGUUUGGUGCCUCAGCAGUCAUGGGAGGAGGGCGAGAUCAAUAGCAGGAUGAAGGACCCUUUUAACACGUGCGUUUAAU
rnacentral:sRNA from 1 species